CCCUGCUUGCAGGGUGGAUUAGUGGCGAACGGGUGAGUAACACGUGAGUAACCUGCCCCUGACUCUGGGAUAAGCCCGGGAAACUGGGUCUAAUACCGGAUAUGACUUCCUACUGCAUGGUGGGUUGUUGAAAGAUUUAUCGGUGGGGGAUGGACUCGCGGCCUAUCAGCUUGUUGGUGAGGUAAUGGCUCACCAAGGCGACGACGGGUAGCCGGCCUGAGAGGGUGACCGGCCACACUGGGACUGAGACACGGCCCAGACUCCUACGGGAGGCAGCAGUGGGGAAUAUUGCACAAUGGGCGGAAGCCUGAUGCAGCGACGCCGCGUGAGGGAUGACGGCCUUCGGGUUGUAAACCUCUUUCAGUAGGGAAGAAGCGAAAGUGACGGUACCUGCAGAAGAAGCGCCGGCUAACUACGUGCCAGCAGCCGCGGUAAUACGUAGGGCGCAAGCGUUAUCCGGAUUUAUUGGGCGUAAAGAGCUCGUAGGCGGUUUGUCGCGUCUGCCGUGAAAGUCCGAGGCUCAACCUCGGAUCUGCGGUGGGUACGGGCAGACUAGAGUGAUGUA
rnacentral:rRNA from 1 species